UACGGAGGAUCCAAGCGUUAUCCGGAAUCAUUGGGUUUAAAGGGUCCGUAGGCGGUUUUGUAAGUCAGUGGUGAAAGCCCAUCGCUCAACGGUGGAACGGCCAUUGAUACUGCAAGACUUGAAUUAUUGGGAAGUAACUAGAAUAUGUAGUGUAGCGGUGAAAUGCUUAGAGAUUACAUGGAAUACCAAUUGCGAAGGCAGGUUACUACCAAUAUAUUGACGCUGAUGGACGAAAGCGUGGG
rnacentral:rRNA from 1 species